rnacentral:lncRNA from 1 species
AAGAACAUCUAUCCUCAAAUUACUAAUUCUAAGAGUAUCUAGAAAGCUAAAAUAAACAAAAAAAGCUAGUCCAUGCCGGAACUUCAAGGCAUCAAGACAUGAAGAAGAAGAUCCAGUCCAAGCUAGAAGCUUUAGCUCACCCUGAAAUCUGGUGUGAUGAAGACUGGCUAGAGUUGCGGUUGGGUUGAAGACGACGGUACGUUUGCUGCACUCCACAUAUAACAAAGAAAAACAAUUACAAGUAGGGGUCAGUACAACCACAAGUACUGAGUAGAUAUCAUCGGCCAACUCAAAAUAGAAAACAGUAUAUAUCAGAUAAUAUCAUAAAAUCAACUACAAUACUCAACAUGCGGCAUUUACAAUUACCAUAACCCUUGGUCACAACACCAAGCUCAUCAAUGAGGACUCACGCCUCCCCAUCAUACUCAUUUGGGAAAUAGGUUCAUUAAAUUGAGUAUAUUAACAUCUUUCAAAAUUCAUUAUCUUUAUUUCUCUUGUGUCGGUACGUGACACUCCGAUCCCCUAAUUCCACGUGUCGGUUCGUGACACUCGAUCCCCUAAUUCUACGUAUCGGUUCGUGACACCCGAUCCCCUAAUUCUACGUGUCGAUUCGUGACACCCGAUCCCCUAAUUCUACGUGUCGGUUCGUGACACCCGAUCCCCUAAUUCUACAUGUCGGUUCGUGACACCAGAUCCCCUAAUUCUACGUAUCAGUUCGUGACAUCCGAUCCCCUAAUACUACGUGUCAGUUCGUGACACCCGAUCCCCUAAUACUACGUGUCGGUUCGUGACGCCCACUCCACUAAUCUCAUUCUAUUAAUUCAUCAAGCCUUCUCUUAUACCAAGACAUCAUCAAUCUCAUUACUUUAGUUCAUCAAGUCUUUUCUUAUACCAAGGCAUCAUCAUUAACAAGGUAAAUUUAGGAUUAGAGAUUCAAUAGCCUCAUCAUGAUUAUUCAUCACAUUUAUAUAAUCACAUUCAUGCAAGCAUACAAUUAAGCAUAUAGAAGGGUUUACACACUACCCAAGACAUAUCAUUCGCUAUUAAGAGUUUACUACGAAUAGCAUAAACCAUAACCUACCUCCACCGAAGAUUCGUGAUCAAGCAAGCAAUUUCCCCAAAGCUUUGUUAUCCUCUUCGUUCCUCUCUCUCUCUUGAUCGAUUCUCCCUCUCUUGUUCUUUCUAUUUUUC